rnacentral:rRNA from 1 species
UAACGGCCGCGGUAUUUUGACCGUGCGAAGGUAGCGUAAUCACUUGUCUUUUAAAUAGAGACCUGUAUGAAUGGCAUCACGAGGGUUAUGCUGUCUCCUCUCUCCCGUCAAUGAAAUUGAUCUACCCGUGCAGAAGCGGGUAUCACAACAUAAGACGAGAAGACCCUAUGGAGCUUUAGACACCAAAGCAGACCGUGUUAAGAGCCCCCCGUCAAGGCGAAAAAACAAGACUGACCCUGCUUAUUUGUCUUUGGUUGGGGCGACCGCGGAGAACAAUAAAACCCCCGCGUGGAAUGGGACCUCCCUUGAAGCCAGGCCUACAGGCCUAAUCUCCAGAAAAUCUGACCAUAAAGAUCCGGCUUUGCCGAUCAACGGACCCAGUUACCCUAGGGAUAACAGCGCAAUCCCCUUUUAGAGCCCACAUCGACAAGGGGGUUUACGACCUCGAUGUUGGAUCAGGACCUCCUAAUGGUGCAGCCGCUAUUAAGGGUUCGUUUGUUCAACGAUUAAAGUCCUACGUGAUCUGAGUUCAGACCGGAGAAAUCCAGGUCAGUUUCUAUCUCUGAAGUGUU